GUCUUAAUUGGGCGUUAAGUUGCAGGGUAUAGACCCGAAACCCGGUGAUCUAGCCAUGGGCAGGUUGAAGGUUGGGUAACACUAACUGGAGGACCGAACCGACUAAUGUUGAAAAAUUAGCGGAUGACCUGUGGCUGGGGGUGAAAGGCCAAUCAAACCGGGAGAUAGCUGGUUCUCCCCGAAAGCUAUUUAGGUAGCGCCUCGUGAACUCAUCUCCGGGGGUAGAGCACUGUUUCGGCUAGGGGGCCAUCCCGGCUUACCAACCCGAUGCAAACUGCGAAUACCGGAGAAUGUUAUCACGGGAGACACACGGCGGGUGCUAACGUCCGUCGUGAAGAGGGAAACAACCCAGACCGCCAGCUAAGGUCCCAAAGUCAUGGUUAAGUGGGAAACGAUGUGGGAAGGCCCAGACAGCCAGGAUGUUGGCUUAGAAGCAGCCAUCAUUUAAAGAAAGCGUAAUAGCUCACUGGUCGAGUCGGCCUGCGCGGAAGAUGUAACGGGGCUAAACCAUGCACCGAAGCUGCGGCAGCGACGCUUAUGCGUUGUUGGGUAGGGGAGCGUUCUGUAAGCCUGUGAAGGUGGCCUGUGAGGGUUGCUGGAGGUAUCAGAAGUGCGAAUGCUGACAUAAGUAACGAUAAAGCGGGUGAAAAGCCCGCUCGCCGGAAGACCAAGGGUUCCUGUCCAACGUUAAUCGGGGCAGGGUGAGUCGACCCCUAAGGCGAGGCCGAAAGGCGUAGUCGAUGGGAAACGGGUUAAUAUUCCCGUACUUGGUGUUACUGCGAAGGGGGGACGGAGAAGGCUAUGUUGGCCGGGCGACGGUUGUCCCGGUUUAAGCGUGUAGGUGUGUGUUCCAGGUAAAUCCGGUUCACUUUAACACUGAGGCGUGAUGACGAGGCACUACGGUGCUGAAGCAACAAAUGCCCUGCUUCCAGGAAAAGCCUCUAAGCAUCAGGUAACAU
rnacentral:rRNA from 1 species